GCCGGAAUAGCUCAGUUGGGAGAGCGUUAGACUGAAGUUGUUUACGCAACAGUCAUCUAAAUGCCCCCGGUUCAAUCGGGUUCCGGCA
rnacentral:tRNA from 1 species